rnacentral:rRNA from 1 species
AGUGAACGCUGGCGGUAGGCCUAACACAUGCAAGUCGAACGGCAGCACAGAGGAGCUUGCCCCUUGGGUGGCGAGUGGCGGACGGGUGAGGAAUACAUCGGAAUCUACUCUGUCGUGGGGGAUAACGUAGGGAAACUUACGCUAAUACCGCAUACGACCUACGGGUGAAAGCAGGGGACCUUCGGGCCUUGCGCGAUUGAAUGAGCCGAUGUCGGAUUAGCUAGUUGGCGGGGUAAAGGCCCACCAAGGCGACGAUCCGUAGCUGGUCUGAGAGGAUGAUCAGGCACACGGGAACUGAGACACGGUCCAGACUCCUACGGGGGGCAGCAGUGGGGAAUAUUGGACAAUGGGCGCAAGCCUGAUCCAGCCAUACCGCGUGGGUGAAGAAGGCCUUCGGGUUGUAAAGCCCUUUUGUUGGGAAAGAAAUCCAGCUGGCUAAUACCCGGUUGGGAUGACGGUACCCAAAGAAUAAGCACCGGCUAACUUCGUGCCAGCCGCCGCCGUAA